UNCUCUGGCUUAACUGGGGGCUUGCGGUGGGUACGGGCCGGCUNGAGUGCGGUAGGGGAGGCUGGAACUCCUGGUGUAGCGGUGGAAUGCGCAGAUAUCAGGAAGAACACCGGUGGCGAAGGCGGGUCUCUGGGCCGUUACUGACGCUGAGGAGCGAAAGCGUGGGGAGCGAACAGGAUUAGAUACCCUGGUAGUCCACGCCGUAAACGUUGGGCACUAGGUGUGGGGGGCCUUUUCCGGGUUUUCCGCGCCGUAGCUAACGCAUUAAGUGCCCCGCCUGGGGAGCACGGCCGCAAGGCUAAAACUCAAAGGAAUUGACGGGGGCCCGCACAAGCGGCGGAGCAUGCGGAUUAAUUCGAUGCAACGCGAAGAACCUUACCAAGGCUUGACAUGUGCCGGUCGGCUCCGGAGACGGGGUUUCCUCCUUGUGGGGCCGGUUCACAGGUGGUGCAUGGUUGUCGUCAGCUCGUGUCGUGAGAUGUUGGGUUAAGUCCCGCAACGAGCGCAACCCUUGUCUCGUGUUGCCAGCACGUUGUGGUGGGGACUCGCGGGAGACUGCCGGGGUCAACUCGGAGGAAGGUGGGGAUGACGUCAAAUCAUCAUGCCCCUUAUGUCUUGGGCUUCACGCAUGCUACAAUGGCCGGUACAGAGGGCUGCGAUACUGUGAGGUGGAGCGAAUCCCUUAAAGCCGGUCUCAGUUCGGAUCGGUGUCUGCAACUCGACACCGUGAAGUUGGAGUCGCUAGUAAUCGCAGAUCAGCAACGCUGCGGUGAAUACGUUCUCGGGCCUUGUACACACCGCCCGUCACGUCAUGAAAGUCGGCAACACCCGAAGCCCGUNGCCUUAUGGG
rnacentral:rRNA from 1 species